UGUGUGGUGGUAAACGGAGCCUUCCUCGAAGUUCUCCGGUUGGAUCCAGCCUUGGGUCUGGGCAGCUAUUAGCGUUCGAUCAGCAAUGACGGGCGGUGGUAAGUCUGUUCGGUCCACGGGUGCAUCUCCAGCCGGUGUGACGGUAGGAACUGUUGUCGCUUGACCUGAGGCCCGGGAUUUAGUUUUCUCUCCGGAGUCAGCUCCUGGCGCCCUGGCUUAUGCAACGACAGGCAAAUGGUGAACUCGUACAGCGAGCAACUUUCUGUUGCGGUUCACCUUUCUCUACCGAGUAGGUCGGCG
rnacentral:rRNA from 1 species